rnacentral:tRNA from 1 species
AUGUGGCUCAGUGGUAGAGCACUUGUAUACCAUGUGAAAGACCCUGGGUUCCAUCCCCAGCAU